UAAAGAGCAUCCAAACAUAACACUUUGCAUAAGGUAUGAAAUAUAUUAGAAAAGCAUGUGUACUAAUUAUCAUGGAUAUUAACUUUAUCCAUUUUACAGGUUGAAGUAUGGUACUGAUAUGUAAACAACACUGAAAUUGUAGAUCGAGAGAUAAGCAUAACGUGUAGAUUUAAAUAUUUCAACAAAUAUGUUGACAGUUGCAUAUUCCGACGUACCGUACUCAUUAUUGACAUUGUAUAGAUGACAACGCAAAUCUAUCGAAACGUAAUCAGAGUUUGUUUGAAAGUAUUACAUGACAGUGUUUUUUUCCGAGAAUUUACCACUUGAAUGCCAAAUAUUAGAAAGGAAGUCUAUAAAUUGCUGAAACGUCGUCCAGGAAAAUAUUGUGCGAUUUAGAUGUUAUCAAGGACACGUCAAAUCUAAAGGCAAGAUGUGGCCUUAAGAUCAAUUAAAACAAAUAAAGGAAAUGUGUUCAUUCGUCAAUUCCCCUCUGUAUUGUACAAUGUUAAACAAGUGUAUGUGUAG